rnacentral:rRNA from 1 species
UACGUAGGGGGCAAGCGUUAUCCGGAUUUACUGGGUGUAAAGGGAGCGUAGACGGCGCUGCAAGUCCGGAGUGAAAGCCCAUGGCUUAACCAUGGUACUGCUCUGGAAACUGUGGAGCUUGAGUGCAGGAGGGGCAGGCGGAAUUCCUAGUGUAGCGGUGAAAUGCGUAGAUAUUAGGAGGAACACCGGCGGCGAAGGCGGCCUGCUGGACCGUAACUGACGUUGAGGCUCGAAAGCGCGGGGAGCAAACAGG